AGUCAACAUUUGGAUUUUGGUCUCUGAGAGUCCUUGAUAGCCUGCAGGGUGAUCAACAGUCUUAAGGUUUGCUCAGGACUGAGGGGUUUCCCAGGAUGUGGGAGUUUCAGUCCUGAAAUGGGAAGUCCCACGGGUGCCAAUGGGCGCCAAUGGGUGCACCAGCAUGACUGGUCAUUCUAUUGGGGUUCUAAUUCAGUUUCCUUUUAGUUUAAUAUUUGUAUUACUUUCUAUAUCUGGAGAAGUUUGAUACAAAACCUACACCUGUGACUUUUAUUUUCUUUCACUUCCAUCUCUCCUAUUUUCAUAAAAAGAGGGUAAUUUGAUAGAUAUGACUAAAAUCUUACAAUUACUAAAUGCAUUUAGUCAUUCAACAAUACUGUUUAAGUGCCUACUUAAAGUCCUGGCAGGGGCGGGCUACAAUGAUAGAUCAAGGUAGCUACUAGGAGUGAGAAGUCCUGUCCAUAAGCAGCUAGAAGAAGAUAAGAAAAGAUCUGCCGACAUUUCCAGGAGUUCAGAGCAAGUGGCAGACUGAUAAAGCAGAGGUGAAGAGGGCAGGGGAAGCUGCUUGCUUUUUGUCAUUUUAUUUUACUUUAGAUGAGCAAUAGGAAACAACAUCUCCAAAAACAACUCCAUUCUUUCAUGUUAGGAAUCAUUUUGGUAAAAUGGUGUGGCUUUCUGUUUUUUCACUAAAAGACUAGCUGAACCCUGGACUUCAAAUGCUUUCAUGACUACUAGAAAUAUAUAUAUAUUUUUUCUCUUCAAAACAAUGCAACGCAUAUUCUUGGCUUUCCCUUCAAGCAAUGGGCCCCCACGUGGGGAAGUCAUUUUCGUGUCUGUGAGCAAAUGCGGUGAUUAGGUUGUCAGUGACCUUACAGUCAUUAUUAGUUUUCACAAGCCCUCAGUGAACUUCAUGUCUGAGCUCUCCUUCAGUUCAGGGUUGAUGUGCAAUGACUCAUGUACCCGCUGUAAUACUCCAAAACUACUGUGUGAUUCCUUUCCUCUCUCCUUUCCCCUCUGCAUUUCACUUUCCCUUCAUAUCUCAUGAGCACAUAGUUCCUUCUUUAAUGACUAAUUGUAUUGAGUGCCAUGACCAGUCUUAGGAGUGUUGUAAUAUGAAUGAAGCAAUCAAAACUCUCCACUUGAUCACUCCUGUUUAUUAUUUUUUAAAGAAAGAUGAAAGUUGUCAUGUGCAAAUGGGGGCAUUAAUUCCUUUACCUAUUCCACAACUUUAGCUCAAAUAUGCCAAGGAAAUAGAGUGUACGUGUGAGUGUGUGUGCCUGUGCUUGAAGCAAGAGAAUCGAAGGAGACCAGCAAGCCUCAAAGUUAAGUAAAAUUUGGAAUCAACAUUUAAAUUAGGUAUGCUUUAUGGGUUGAUGUUAUUUGAAAGCUGAAUAGCUGAUGUCAAAAAUAGACUUCCCUUUCUUUCCAAAGUGUGGCAAAAAUAACCACAUGCUUUUCUUGGAUUCCUGACUCUCACCCCUAAGGGUUUUCUUGUAUAGGAACCAACAAUUCCUUGGAUGGAAACACUGGAUAGGCUAGUCAUUAUUUUGAGAUUUAGGAGAUUGCAGAUUCUUGGCAGACUGUGGUUGUUUUUCUAGAGUAGUAGGCAAGUAGUUGGACAAAAAGCAAGAAGCUGAUCCAUGUUGCUGGCUUUGGGUUCUUCGUGAACAAAUGAGACAAGGCUGAAAAUUCUAUGCGCAUUCUACCCAGCUUCUUAGAAGGUCCUCACAGAAGAUGAGAUGGAUCACGUGGCCACCUUCACUGCCUCCUUCCCCACUUUACUCCUUCCAGGAGGCUAGGGACUCCUGUCUGCUGGGAUCAUUCUCCAAAAUAACCUUCCUUUACAGAAACCCUUGUCACAGGCUCUGUUUCCUGCGCGGAACCCAGACUGAGACACUAAAAUGAUACAAUAGAAUGAAGACAUGAAUGUGAAUUGCUCAGGGGUUGGUUGGAUUGUAUAUCUCUGUGAAUAGGGUUCAAAGAGAAGUUUGGGAAACACUGGACUAGAUGACCACUGGCAUCACAGCGUGUAGAAUUAGAACCUUCACAUCCCCAUCCAGCUAUAACAGGUUUAUGGGUAUCUAGGUCUUCCACGAAGAACAGUAGGAGAAGAUCCCCAAGCCUCGUCAGACCUGUUGAAUAUCCGUGAGUAUGUGUGACAUCCAGGAGAAACAGAGAACAAAACAAAACAGAACAUUUUCACAAACAUUCAGAACCCUACGAUCUUGGGAGUCUUCUGCACUCUAUAGUAGUAAUAGAUUAUGUCCAAAUCUGUUACAAAUUAUUAAACUGCAAGUGAUGUUGGCCUAUUCCAAGGAAACUGUUGGUCUCACUCUAGGGCAUGCCUAAAGGUAAAGGAGGAGGAGACCCAAGGAGGGCUUCUUUGCUUCUGUCCUCAUCCAUCCCGGGGAAAGGUGGCCUUUGCGUCAGCCAGGUUGUUGGCUGGACUCUGGGGAUUCUGAGAAUCUAGUUACCUGCCUGUCCCUCUCUGUACCUGUAUGAUCUAGGCCAGUGGAUCUCAAAGUGUGAUUCCUGGAUGAGACCAUCUUUUUCCAAAGGCAAAUUUUGUACUAGGAGGGAGAUUAGAAAUGCCAAUUCUUGGGUCCCACCCGGAUCUUCAACAAUCUGUUCUGACAAGCCUUCCAGAUGAUUCUGAUGCUGGCUCAAGUUUGAGAACGACUGUCCGAGGCCUUUUCCUUCUCACUUGGCUUGUGAGCUUUGGUGGCCUCCCAUGUUGAUUUCACACUCCUGCCCAGAGAACGGGCUCAGGGAACAAAAGAUUACUAGGUGAACUGGGUGGGGGGUGAGAAAAGAGGCUAGAACUGUGUAGGUGCUACCCAGUCGACAAGCAGAUUCCGUCCUGGACUUUGGAAGUCAGCUGUUUGGAAUGUGAGCUGUUUUCCUAGGAAUGGUAGAUAGGUUCCCACGCCAGCACACAAAGGCAUAUUUAAUCCUGAAUCCAGCUGAAAUAGCGCUGCGGCACAGUGAAAUAGAGCAGAUCACAGUGCUCCCGUAGUAUUAGUCACCAAUCAAAGCAGAAUAAAGCAAGAAAUGAAACACAGAGAUAGUAUUUUGUUUAUGCUAAUAUUGAUGCUGGCAGGACAGGUUGAUCUGCAGGCGGAUGGAGAGGUAAUUGGGGAUUUGUCAAGACUAUGAAGGAGUGGCUUGCCUUUCUCUUUAGAAUGUCAUGAUACUAAAUUCCUGUAGUUAGGUUUUCUUAAAUGUGGUUCUAGACUGUUACCUUCUCUUUUUCUGAAGGCACGUUUCUCACUAAGAAAGAGAGAAAGAAUUCUGAGACAAGUUGGCAAGAGUUGAAAAGGAGAGCGGAAAGGAUAAGGGCAUUAAAGACAAUGUGGGUUUGUUUUUUUUAUUAACACGAGCAUCAACAGAGACAGAAUUAAGUUGAGUUGUGAGCAAUGAGGGAUGGAUCGUCAGAAGGAGGGUCAGAAUUCUCUUCUGACAAAAGGGAGGAAAGAAAGCAGACAAAAACUGACUAUACAGUUUAAGAACUGCUGUUCUGGAAAACAUGCCUCCUAUUGUACUGCCCUUAGAAUUGGCCCAUAGUCACAUUCCAUGUCACCUUGUCCCCUCUCUGGCUACAUGGGCAGCUGACCAGAGGCCUUGACAAUGACCAAUGAUAUGGCAUAAGAAGGUGAGCUGGACCAAUCUGAUGUCCUCUUUUUCCCUCCCAGGCAUUUGACCUCAGGAAUACCCAAGGCGUUUGUUCGACCGUGACGGGAAGAGGUGCAUGGCUGGCCAUGGACACUUGACAUGUUCUCAAAUCAAAGCUUCUAGUUAGGUUUCCUGUGGUGGCUAAAGUACUUUCUUUUCGGGUUCACUAUGCAUUUAUUAACCAUUCUAUUUUUGUACCAUACAAAUUAUCAUUGCUGACGGUUGAAUGGCUGGAUUUGGAGAAAUGUGGUAGCCCUAAUGGAAUUAAUUAAGUGAAUAAUAUUGCCUGACAAAUGGCUCCGCGUACCAAAGAGGGCUUGAGACUUAAUUACUGAUGUCAUUUAUCUCUCUAUUUGCACCCCAACAAUAAGUGACUCGCUUCUCAUUAACGUUGGAUCAUCUUCGAAAAGGAAAAAAAGUAGCCAAAAUAUCAAGAAAGAAAAAAAAAUUGAUGUCUUCGUUCCCCACUUCAUUAUCCUGAUAAAUCAUAACAGACUCUGUUAAUUAGAUGGGCAGCUUUAACUGGCUGACUCCUGUCCAACAAUUACCUCAGAAAGAAGCACCACUGGGAACAUUUCCUUCCCUUGGGAGGACAUGAAAGAAAGUCCAUAACAGAAAAAGGGAUCAUUUCCCCAGCCGUGCUGGGGACCACAGUGGUCAGUAUGAAUUUCUAGACUGAAGGGCUGGAGCUGUUGCAGAGAUGUUGCUGAUGCGUGAUGGCGAUGGUGGGGUGACCGACGCUGUCCUCUUAAUCUAAGACUUAGAAGAGUGGUGUCAUAGGUUGAAUUGUGUUCCCCCAAAAGACACUGAAGUCUUAAUUCUCAGCACGUGUGGAAGUGACCUUAUUUGGAAAAUAGGGUCUUUGCAGAUGAUCAAGUUAAGAUGAGGUCAUCAAUACUGGCCUAACCCAAUAUGACUGAUGUCCUUAUAAAAUGGAGAAACUUGGACACAGAGACAGACGUGCACAUAAGGAGAAUGCCAUGUGACAAGGGAGGCAAAGAUUGGGUGAUCUUUCUACAAGCCAAGGGGUGCCAAAGAUUGUCAGCAAACCGCUAGGAGUUCCGGGAGAGGCCUGGAGCAGAUCCUUCGUCUCAGCCCUCAGAAGGAACCAACCCUACGCACACCUUGAUCUCGGACUUCCAGCCUCCAGAACUGUGAGCCAAUACAUUUCUGUUGUUUCAAGCCAUCCACGUGUGGUAUUUUGUUAUGGAAGCCUGAGCAAACUAAUUCAAGCGGGUACUGGUUUCAAAGUGUCUAAAAACGCUCUCAUUGCUCUUGGGGUUUGUACAGUUCACAGAAAUGAGCCAUCUUGCUGGCCAAGGCUGCCGGCGGGGCUACUGUGAGAAGUCGGUCAGUAACCAAUACCGAUUUCUCAGUACCAGGCGCUGGAGAGAUGGUGAAGGAGACAGAUGUGGUUCCUGAUCUCCAGCAGCCAGCAGUCUGGUGGGAAGGGGAGGCAAUGAAGAUGACCUUGUACUUAAUCAGUUAAAUAUGAAUAUGUAUUCAGUGUGCAGAGGACGGACCGACGAAGCACAUCCUGGGGGAGGCACCCCAAGCUGGGCUGGAAAAAAAAGGCUCGCAGAGGAAAGGAUGUCUAAGCUGAGACCUGAUGAGCAAGGGUUAUCUGGAUUUUAAAAAUGGGCUGUGGAAGGAGCAGGUGUGAAGGCUCUAGGGCAAGAGGAAGCAAGGAGCGUACACACAUACCCAGAGAAAUCCAAGAACAGAGCAGCUGGGGACGGCAUAGUAGCUUCCAGUUCUUUUUCUCAGCCUUCAUCUUCUCAUUCAUCAAAGGUUUACAGCACACUUACCAUGUUCUGUCCCCCGAGCUAGGGGCUGGGGGAUGCCCGUGGUGGAGACCAACACGUAAACUGCCCAUCAAGCAGCUGAUGGCCCAGGGCUGGGAAAAGAGAUGGGAGCAGACGGAGAGAACAGAGCCACCACUUCUGUCAGGACAACUCGGAGCAGCGGAGGAAGCCACCUCUCAGGUGAAUCUUGAGGAAAAGCUACAUGCAUGGGCUAUGGGAGGGAAACGGGUAAACCGAAAAUGUUAACCUGUGGUCAGAAGAAAAAGACCCUUCGGUCCCUGAUCUCUCUGGCCAAUAGUUUUCAUGUGACUGGACUUGAAGAGGUCACAUGUCACAUCCAGAAACUUUAAUUCUUUCUAAGUGUAUAAUGUGAUUCUAUUUCUCUGAAGCAGAAUUUGAGUUGCAGCUUAUCUAGUUUUCAUUCAACGACAUGGCAGGACGUUUCAGAACAUUCUACAGAACACCUUUGUGAUGGCUUCUUGUCCUUGAGGCCCCACGCCCAAAUACUUGGACCUGGGUUCCCAGGACCUACCAUGGACACCAUCUCUCCUUGGCCAGAGUCUGAGGAAAUAAUGAAAUCUAUAGACUCAAUCCAUCCUGGGCAUAUAUUUUUGAACUCUAGCUUUGGCAGUUCUUAGGUACAGCCCAAUCAAAAGGGGCCAUUAAGGGUGCCAUUUUCAAGAUGCAUUUCUAGGUUGGAUAUUAAAGUCACUGUUUGCCGUCUCUAAUUGACUUCAAUUAUCUGUCUCUUGUGGGCCCAGGACAGAAAGUUUUGGGAAGGCAAAACUAGACUCUGAUUUUGUAGGCAUGGCAUUUAUUAUGUAAGCGUACAGGUCUGCAUUUCAAAAUGAAAAAAUAAUAAUAAUGAAAGUUUCUCUAGGCUUCUUGUGUCCAAACCACUCUUGCAAAACCACCUCUGGAUGAGCUUUAAGUGUCAGCAAAUCAGAAACAUGUGGAUUUAAUUUCCUUUGAAAUACACUAGGGGGACAAGGGGGUAGCAGGG